ensembl:snoRNA SNORD33 Small nucleolar RNA Z195/SNORD33/SNORD32 family
CUCGUCAGUGAUGUUUUUCCACAGAAGUAUUUGAGUUUAACGACCAUGAGAAUACUUCACAUGCACUACCAUCUGAGACAGA